ensembl:lncRNA ZNF767P zinc finger family member 767, pseudogene
GGGAGGCGGGCCCUGCGUGGGGCCGCGCGCAGCAGCGGCGACGACUUUAUCUGGGCCGCGGGGGACAGCGCAGGGCCAUGGAGGAGGCGGCCGCAGCUCCGAUUUCUCCGUGGACGAUGGCAGCCACGAUUCAGGCCAUGGAGAGGAAGAUUGAAUCGCAGGCUGCUCACCUGCUUUCCCUAGAAGGUCAAACCGGGAUGGCCGAGAAGAAGCUGGCUGAUUGCGAGAAGACAGCCGUGGAGUUCGGGAACCAGCUGGAGGGCAAGUGGGCCGUGCUGGGGACCCUGCUGCAGGAGUACGGGCUGCUGCAGAGGCGGCUGGAGAACGUGGAGAACCUGCUGCACAACAGGAACUUCUGGAUCCUGCGGCUGCCCCCGGGCAGCAAGGGGGAGUCCCCUAAGACUACGCCAUCUCCAAGUCCGAGGUCCUCUCCCAGAUUGAACAAGGGAAGGAGCCCUGCAACUGGCGCCGCCCUGACCCCAAGAUUCCAGAUGUUCCUGUGGACCCCAGUCCAGCUGUUGUUGCUUUUAACUCCAUGGAGAGACCGAAUGGAGUGAGCCCAGCAGGGCAUGCUGGGCAAGAGAGGUCCCCCGAGUCCCAAAUAAGAAUUUCAACUAGUAUAAAACGAGGCAGCGAACCCACACGUGGAAGUCUGAUACCGCUUGCAGAAGGGAAUUGAAUAGAUGUCUCCCUAUUGGUAAGGAUGUGGUUUUAUUGACUUGAAAUAACAAAGCCCGCAAGCAACAACUGAUCAUCCGCGGGAUGCUGCCACAAGGAAUAAUUGAGCACUCAUUCAGACACAGGGGAAACCACUGCCUCUUUCAGUCUUUCUCCCAGAUUCCAACAGUCAGUGUUACAGCAUUUCACCUUGUUCACCUCCCUGAGAAGACGUUGCAGCUCACUCACCCCAGUGGGCACUGGGAGCCUCUGCUCAGGUGGGAGACAGAUGCCCCCCACAUGCACAUCUGGUGUUUAUGAAGCAGAUACUGGGGCUUCAUAAACACAGAAGGGGCAGGGAAGUAGCCCCAGGGCAUAGUGUGGGGCCUCCUGACUAAAAGUAGCUUGCAAACCCCUGCCUAUAACAGCCACUUCCUGGCAGUCAUUGUGCCACUUAGGAGCCCUCCUCACCGCUCUUCCUUUAGUUCCUUCACUCUGUAUAGACCCUGCCAGAGCAGCUCAGGGUGGAGCAGCUGCAGCCAUGGGACCUGCUCCAGGCAAGGCCCUAUGCUACACAGUCCCUGGGGGUGAGGAUUCCAGAGGAGUCAAUUCCCUACCCGCCCUUCCAGGGGAUGGCCGAGAUGAGCGUUCCCACAGGGAAAGUGAAAGUUGCAAGGCUGUUGCGGAAACACCAGGGGUUCCAUCUAGGUCUUGCUGCUCAUCUCACAGAAAGCCAGUCACUGAGACAAGUAUUGUCAGGGAAGAAGGCUUUAUCCAGGUGCUACAGACAGGGUGAACAAGAGAUCAGUCUCAAAUCCAUCAUCAUCAACUGACUAAAAUUAGGGGUUUAUAUAGCAGGGAAGAAAUGUAACUACAUGUGGGAAAACAGGGAUUAACGAGGGGCAAGGAAGAGGAGUUGGCCAACAGGCAGCAGGUGGUCACCUGGGGAAUCAUGAUGGGUGAGGGGUCUGGCUUCUCACUUUCCAGAUGUGGGGAUCUGGUAAAUUUCAGUUUCUUGAUACCGUCUGGGAGGAUUGCUGGCUGGUUUCCUGAGAAAGGAAUUCAGAUGACAUAAAUGUAAAUUUCUCCUUGGGUUUCAAGACUGAGAGGGUCAAUUUCUAGGUUUAUUCAAGAAAAACCAUAAACAUCAGUUCUAUGGGACAAUUGGGCCCAUUUCAAGGCUCUGAGGAUAAGGGUUAAUGAGGGGACAGAGUCGCCUGGAGAAGUUCACUGGGGCCUACAAGAAACUAGAGAGGCUUCCUGGCAAAGCUCUAUGCUGUCUAUCCUCUCUUCUCUCCUUGCAGGAAGAUUCCAGUAUAAUAGACCCGAGGUGAAAAGGCUUUUGUUCAAUAAGUAGAAAACUGAAGGGGGGUGGGAGGCACAUGGAUUUGAACCAGAGACCGCUUGGCCUGCAGGCAAAUGCUGUACCUUCAGUUGCACCCCUCACUUGUUACAGCUGUUUCUGAUAAGCACUUGUGCAGCCCCAUCAGCACCUCGAUUUCUUCUUGGUGAGUCCAUGGGAACAGCCCCACUGCAAACAACCCAUUCCUGCUCUCCUCUUUCCUCUAAACCUCAACCUCCUCCUACCUGGCAGUCCACAGGCCUACAGCUUCUCCUCAGUGGGAAAGACAUCAGCUUGGAAAACCACUUGGAAAGCCAACGUUAUCCUAGAAAAGCUUUUUAAAUGACCCAGCAGGACAAGUCUCCGGAUGGCCUUGGCCAACCCGGUGCUUCCCUCUUUUCUUGGUUGUAGUUCUCAGAAUAACUAGAGAAUGUACUGGGAGUGUUGUCCUGAGAUAAGGAGGAACUGUCCUAAACCUGGACUCUGUUCCCAUCACACCUAGAACAGGAUGUCCUGCAACGCUUUAGCCCAAUGAUCCAAGUUGCCCUUGGGGUAUAAAACUUGACAGCAGAGGGCGUUCAGGGUCCCUCAGCUGCAGUGUGAAGUGGGACACACAGGUGAGACUCCAUCUGCCCUGGGCAGGUUCCUGAGCCUUGGGGGACCAGUUCACCCUACAUCCCAGGCUUCUGUUGUCCCUUGCCUGCCUGUAAGGAAUAAAGUUGCUUUGCUUAA